rnacentral:rRNA from 1 species
GUGCCAGCCGCCGCGGUAAUACAGAGGGUGCGAGCGUUGUCCGGAAUCACUGGGCGUAAAGGGCGCGUAGGCGGGCGAUCAAGCGGGCGGUGAAAGCUCGGGGCUCAACUCCGAGUCGGCCGUGCGAACUGGUUGUCUGGAGUCCGGUAGAGGCUGAUGGAAUUCCGGGUGUAGCGGUGGAAUGCGUAGAGAUCCGGAAGAACACCGGUGGCGAAGGCGGUCAGCUGGGCCGGUACUGACGCUGAGGCGCGACAGCGUGGGGAGCAAACAGGAUUAGAAACCCCCGUAGUCC